rnacentral:rRNA from 1 species
CCUACGGGAGGCAGCAGUAGGGAAUCUUCGGCAAUGGGGGCAACCCUGACCGAGCAACGCCGCGUGAGUGAAGAAGGUUUUCGGAUCGUAAAGCUCUGUUGUAAGAGAAGAACGGAUGUGGGAGUGGAAAAUCCAUGUCGUGACGGUAUCUUACCAGAAGGGGACGGCUAACUACGUGCCAGCAGCCGCGGUAAU